GGACAUUUAUGAGUACAUGUGAACCUUAGUUCACUCCAUUCUUCGACUAUGCUUCUAAUUGUGAAGACUCAAUAAUUUGAGUAUAAUCUGAAAUUUGAUUAGGGUAUGUAUGAUAUCAAUUUACACACAACAGCAGAAAUAAACCCUACUUCAAUCGUCAUAAUACUACAUCUACGUCUUUAAAACAUAUCUACUUGCUCGACAUUGAUUUUACAUCUACUGGUUCAAGGAACCCUUCUGGCGCAAAAUUCUCUUCUACUUACUCGACAUUGAUUUUAUAUCUACUGGUUCAAGGAACCCUUCUGGCGUAAAAUUGUCUUCUAUGUCAAUCUUCAUGAAUUGUCACAACAUCCGCUUUGUCAAGUUAUCUCCACCUUUUUUUGUCGGCUUUAGGUUAUAUAUUAGACUCUCAAUAUUAUGGAGCAUGUAAGACCCACAAUCCGACAUGCAUUCAAGUGACCAGCAAACUUGAGUUUCCUUUCACACCACACCUAAUACAAGUAGUUACUGACCCCUAAGAGUUAACAUAUUGCUAUCUAUAUCUCUAUAAGAAAUAUGAAAAAAUCUAUGGUACUUACGAAAAAUUUCUCUCUUGCGGGCAAGUGAAGUUUUCUUGCAGCUCAUACUCUACUUCAUUGAUCUUGUUUGAGAGGACCUAGUGUCUUGUUUCCUUUUCCUCGUCAGUCAUUUGUACUUUGCUUUCUAUCAAUCCAUGUUCAUCCUCAGCAGUAUUUUUAUCUUUGAAUUCUUCAGGGUCUUGACUCUCAGGGUAUGUCGACGCAGCUAGAGGCCUAAAUCUCCUUUUUUUGUUUCUUCUUUUUUUGCAAAAAGGAAAGUUUUGUUAACAUUAACUCAAUAAAUGAAUUACAAGAGUGUGGUAGUUUUACUUACAGCUUCCUCCACAUCAAGGAAUCUCACUCGGAUGCCUGACCUUUUUGCUUGUUCCUUUAACAUUUGAAUGUAAAUCUUGAGGGUCUGCAUUCAAUUCUAUAUUUUCAGAAAUUCACACAUGAAAUAUAAUGACAGACUUAUUUGCCCAAAAUAAUUGCACCCAGUUUUGAUUAUUGGAUGUCACUAAGUGAUUAUCCUUAUAUCAGUUGUGAACUCUCCUUCCUCUAUUAUUGACUUCAAGUCCUCAUUUUUUAUCUUGCCAAUAUACAAAGCUGUUCAAACCAAAACAAUUGAAAUAAGAAAUAAAAAUAAUAUUUUUUUACUCAAAUCUUUAUAAAGAAGUAAAAACACCAUAUAUACUUACUCUUUGUUUUCUUCUUGAUGUGUUUUGAACGAACUCUUAUAAUGCAUUGCGACAUCCUUCUCUAGAGUUGUCCAUGUUGGCCUUGUGCAUUCGACUUUGUCCUUCUAUUUCACACACAAAC
rnacentral:lncRNA from 1 species